UGGGGAAUAUUGCACAAUGGGCGCAAGCCUGAUGCAGCCAUGCCGCGUGUAUGAAGAAGGCCUUCGGGUUGUAAAGUACUUUCAGCGGGGAGGAAGGGAGUAAAGUUAAUACCUUUGCUCAUUGACGUUACCCGCAGAAGAAGCACCGGCUAACUCCGUGCCAGCAGCCGCGGUAAUACGGAGGGUGCAAGCGUUAAUCGGAAUUACUGGGCGUAAAGCGCACGCAGGCGGUCUGUCAAGUCGGAUGUGAAAUCCCCGGGCUCAACCUGGGAACUGCAUUCGAAACUGGCAGGCUAGAGUCUUGUAGAGGGGGGUAGAAUUCCAGGUGUAGCGGUGAAAUGCGUAGAGAUCUGGAGGAAUACCGGUGGCGAAGGCGGCCCCCUGGACAGAGACUGACGCUCAGGUGCGAAAGCGUGGGGAGCAAACAGG
rnacentral:rRNA from 1 species